UGAGCAAGCAGGAAAUUUAACAGAAGCCA
rnacentral:piRNA from 1 species